GCCACCGUCUACAGCCUGAAGGCGCCCGAUCUCGUCUGAUCUCGGAAGCUAAGCAGGGUCGGGCCUGGUUAGGAUCUUGGAUGGGAGACCACCUGGGAAUCCCGGGUGCUCGAGGCU
rnacentral:rRNA from 1 species